AUUGAACGCUGGCGGCAGGCCUAACACAUGCAAGUCGAGCGUGAAAGGGCUUCGGCCUGAGUAAAGCGGCGGACGGGUGAGUAACGCGUAGGAAUCUACCUGGUAGUGGGGGAUAACGUUCCGAAAGGGACGCUAAUACCGCAUACGUUCCGAGGAAGAAAGCGGGGGAUCGCAAGACCUCGCGCUAUCAGAUGAGCCUGCGUCCGAUUAGCUAGUUGGUGGGGUAAAGGCCUACCAAGGCGACGAUCGGUAACUGGUCUGAGAGGAUGAUCAGUCACACUGGAACUGAGACACGGUCCAGACUCCUACGGGAGGCAGCAGUGGGGAAUAUUGGACAAUGGGCGCAAGCCUGAUCCAGCCAUGCCGCGUGUGUGAAGAAGGCCUCGGUUGUAA
rnacentral:rRNA from 1 species